GCUGGGCGCGGUGGCUUGCGCCUGUAAUCCCAGCAAUUUGGGAGGCUGAGGCGGGCGUAUCACCUGAGGUCAGGAGUUCGAGACCAGCCUGGCCAACAUGGUGAAACCCCGUCUCUA
rfam:Pan troglodytes isolate Yerkes chimp pedigree #C0471 (Clint) chromosome 19, whole genome shotgun sequence.